ACUCAAAGGAAUUGACGGGGACCCGCACAAGCAGCGGAGCGUGUGGUUUAAUUCGAUGCAACGCGAAGAACCUUACCAGGGUUUGACAUACAUGUGACAUCCUUCGAAAGAAGGCUCCCUUCGGGGCACAUGAACAGGUGCUGCAUGGCUGUCGUCAGCUCGUGUCGUGAGAUGUUGGGUUCAGUCCCGCAACGAGCGUAACCCCUAUCGGUAGUUACAUUUUCUAUCGAGACCGCCACUCUAGGGUGGAGGAAGGUGGGGAUGACGUCAAGUCAGCACGGCCCUUACAUCCUGGGCCUCACACACGCUACAAUGGCCAGAACAAUGGGCUGCCAACCCGCGAGGGGGAGCCAAUCCCAACAAAACUGGUCCCAGUUCAGAUUGCAGGCUGCAACCCGCCUGCAUGAAGAUGGAGUUGCUAGUAACCGUAGGUCAGCAUACUACGGUGAAUACGUUCCCGGGUCUUGUACACACCGCCCGU
rnacentral:rRNA from 1 species